GAGCUGUAGCCACUGGCCUACGCCAGAGCCCCAGCAAAGCAGGAUCCGAGCCGCAUCUGCAACCUACACCACAGCUCACAGCAAUGCCGGAUCCUUAACCCACUGAGCAAGGGCAGGACUGAACCCGCAACCUCAUGGUUCCUAGUCGAUUCGUUAACCACUGCGCCAUGAUGGGAACUCCUGGAAUAGUUUUUUAAUUAGUCUCUCUUCCUCUGGUCUGUGUCCCAUGAUCCACCUGCUGGUAUUAACUGGAUGCUCUCUGGGCACUUUGCGUGUGUCAUCCAUUCCUCAGCAGCAGCUUGUAAGGGAGCUGCUGCUACUGUGUUCAUUCUCCAGAUUGGGAAGCUGAGGCUGAUGGGAGCUGAAUAAUUUGCCCAAAGUCAGAUCCUUAAUAACAUGUCCAGGUCCUCUGCUACUAGUCUAGCUCUUUGUCAUCUCCCUGUGCCGCUUGCUGAAAGCCAGACCUGGUCAUGUCACUCCUUUCGUUAUAAAAACGAAGUGCCUCCUCUGUUCAGUGGGCACAGUGAAGGUGGACACCUCCCUGCCCUCCUUGAGGUGUCCUGCUGGUGAAGGAAACAGGCACCACACACGUAAAGGCAAACGAAAAACGGAGUUAGCAGUCAAAGGUGGCGAAGCUUCCUUGAGUUAACGGAACUCUGUGGUGGUGUCUAGUUAAAUAGCCACCUUCCACAUCUCCCUGCUGAGGCUGCCCAGUGACACCUUGGGGCUUAGAGAAGCCCAGCAGCAGAAGAAAUGCACCUGCCUUCUUCGUUAGCCCAGCCAGUCUUCCCCAGAAUCACGCGACCACAAACACCUCCUGGUAGUUCAGUGAAGGGCUUGGGGGUGUGGAAAGAGAGGGUGCCUCGUCAUUCAGAAGAGAGAGGAUGAUGGCACCCUUGGGGUCCGGCAGGACUUUAUUUAAAAGGGGUCCUGGAAGGCUGAUAGGAUUUGGCUGAACAGAAGGGAUAUCUACAAGGAGACACGUUUAGGAAACAUUUUGGAAAGUGCCUCACCAUAACAGCUGGAACUCUGUGGUUUUAUGGAGUAAACGAACACUGCGACCUUGCAGUAAGUGGAGGGUUUGUGUUAGCAGGAAGCUUGAGAAGGGGCUGUACGGGUAGAAUCUCCAGCCUUUGGCUGGUUAGGAACUUUUGAUAGUCGUUGUUGGGCAUGAUCUGAACCAAGUGGUAGAUGAGAAACUUGCGUUGAGCUGAGACAUAGUUGGGGAUUGGAGGGGGAGAUCAGAAGCGUGAAAACCGUGGCUAGAGUGGUUGUCUGUGUAAAGUGAGGCAAGCUGAGACCGGCAGGGCCGAGUAGGGCCGAGCCGAAAAGGUAUUGGGAAGAAUCAGCAGGACAAAACAGUUGAGAAUGACUGGUGUGGGCUGCUGGGAGGACCCAGUCCCAAGAGGUCAGGCACAGUGCUCACUGCUCUUCCAGGCAUGUUCCAGAGAGGCUUUAAAUGAAGUAAAUAAAGAAGCUUCUGUUAAAAUGUUUGAUUAAAUACAUAUAGUGAGUGCUUUUAAAAUGCUGAUGGGGCAAGAUGGCAGAUAAUAUAGCAGUUUUAGGAGAGUUUAUUGUUUGAGGUUCUGGUGUAGAGAUUUGAUUCCCAGCACAAGUCCCAGUAAGUAAUGAGCCAUGUAAUAAUAGGGCUCUGCUCUUAAUUAUGGUGAGUACUCUCAAUGAAAUCGAAUUUUCUUAGUACCAUCCGUGGAAAAAAAUUUAACUCUGACUUUACAUAACAGUCCCAGAUAGAGUGUGAACUCUGUGGAUAUGGGAUAGUGACAGAAAAAAAGAGGAAAAAAUCUCCAAUAUUUGCAGAAAUGUAAGCUCAGAUUAUAACAUAAAUAUAUGAGUGUUUGUGGCGGCUCUGUUGAAGUUGUUACUAGCUAGACUCUAAACCCCAGCACAAACCCCUUCCAGAUUUCAUCAUCACGACUGGUUCUCGGUUAGAUUUUGAGUUCCUUUAUUUUGUGGAUUCAAUUGUUUAAAAAAAAGUUCAGGGAGUUCCCAUCGUGGCUUAGCGGAAACAGAUCUGACUAGCAUCCAUGAAGAUGCAGGUUCAUCCCUGGCCUCACUCAGUGGGUUAAGGAUCCAGCAUUGCCGUGAACUGUGGUGUAGGUCACAGAUGUGGCUCAGAUCUGACAUUGCUGUGGCUGUGGUGUAGGCUGGCAGCUACAACUCCAAUUCAACCUCUAGCCUGGAAACUUUCAUAUGCCGUGCAUAUGGCCCUAAAAAGAUGAACAAAACAAAACAAAACAAUUCAGUUUUAUUGAAUUGCUUCUGCAAAUGAUAGUGGGGGAAGGGGAGAGAUUGCUAAUGAAUACUUUUCCUUUGUUUUUUUUAAGACUUUUUGGGGUAAUGACCAACUGUAUUUUCAGCUAGUCAGCCUGUCAUGUGGGUGUGGAAUGCACCUGCAGGUGUGAGGAGAAUUAGGGGGGUGAGUCCAUUGGAACAGUCCCCAGCGAGAUGCCCUGCACCAGGUUUUCUGUGGGCACCUGUAGGAAUGGGCAGCUCUCUCUCCCUGAGGCCACUGGGCACUGCCAGUAAGUGCCACCAGCCACUUAGGAAGAAAUCAUGUGUGAUAUUUAUGAUGGACGUAUGAGCGCUAGGUAUAACUCCUGGUUUGCCUUUCACAGGUCGGGUGACCGUCUGCAGAUCCUAGCCAUUGGAAAGGUGAGCGUUAUAACUCACAGGGUCAUUCUGGCCAGCCCACGGUGCCUGGUUGGCAUGUAGAGAGUGUAUUAUUUCUGUUCUCUUCUGGGGGCCUCUGGAAAGCAGACCGAGGUUUAAAAAGAUGUUGUCAAAAUUCUUUCCUUUGAAAUCAAUCUGUGUUGACUCAUAAUUUGAGUACUCCUUUAGUACAGUUAUUAAAUAUAGUUACAUAAUUAGCUCACACACAUGCCUAUUUAACCUGUGAGGGCAGAAUUUUGAUUAUGUAGGUCCCAUGGCUUAAGAAAAUGGGGUUUUCUCUUCAACUUGUCUUUAAACUAGAUCUCAAAUUAGCGGACAUUGAUUUCAGAAUUCAGCCUUUAGGAUUCCUCAGAAGUUUUUCUUGCCUUUCAUUUGUCGCUCCCUUAACAUCUCCCCUGCUUUUUUUCAUUUGCUCUUUUCAUGUUGUCAGGGUUUUUUGUUUGUUUUUACGUUUUCUCUCCUGAAACUUUGCACUCAGAGAUAGGAGUAAAGGCCUAUUUUGAGGCAGUAGGAUGGACAGUGUGCUUUCUUUCAUCUCAGUGUAUUAUUGUUUUGCUAACAUGCCUUUUUGCUCUGAAGAUAUAAAUUCACAACUGGAGAAAGAAUCCCAAACUUCAUAAUAACUCUGUAGUUUCCUGAGUGCUUAUUGUGUGCCAAGUACAGGGCAUUUUAGUACAUUAGCUGAUGUCUUCUCAUCCAUAGUGAAGAGACGAAGGCGCCUUGGAGAGUCAGGCCUGGCUGCUUGCUGUGACCGUGCUCCUGACCUGUUCUCUUGUUCCCCCUUGUUCAGUCCCAGGGACAGGGUGGUUUUUAUUAUCUUUAAAGACCUAAGAGAUCUUGGGGCCCUGACUUUGAUGGAUGGCAUUUGGCCUAUUUUAAUUACAAAAACUUAUCAAAUGUUAACAUAAAUUACCUGUGUCUAGUGGGUUCAUAGCCCCAAAUAGUGUCGUUUGGGGUCUUAAAGUGUGUUGAACUGAUUUUGAUGUGUUUAUAAGAGACAUUAUCACUGUUUGAAAAACCCGAUAGUGCUCUUUCCUCCCUGAUUUCUAAUUCUGGCAUCUAGAAUGCAGCUGAGACAAGAGCACGUCUGUGAGACAAACAGAGAUCUCAUGAGAGCUCAUGGAUUAACUUUUUUCCACCACAGCAGCAGGUUUUUCUUAAAGCGUUGUUUGAAAAUUAACAUUACUGAAAAUUUAAGCCUACCUAAAGGGAUUCUAGUUUUGAUCUCAAUUAUAAAAAGUAGGAAGACAUUUUAUAAAAAUCUGUGUCCCCUUAGCACUAGAAUGCUUUGGCUGUGAGUGGGAUAAGCUAGAAGUAAGCUGCCUUUGAUAGACGUGAGCGUGUGUGAUAACUGUCUCUAUCUAUUCAACUACUUCCUGUUCAAUCUCACAUCGCAGCUGGAAAGCAAUUUCCUCACUUGACCCAUUUUUCUUCUGUAUUGUGUCUUUCUUCUGGUUCUUUAACAAAUAGUUUGAAGGAAUGGAGUGUCGUAAAGCCUUACACACUUGUAAGGUGAGGCAAUUCAGGCACCUGCUUUGGAAUAAGCAUACUCUCUUGUGUUUCAUUAUUUGGCUCCCUGGUUGGGCGGAUAACAGUUUUGCUCCUUUACUUUCAUGUCACUGUUUUCAGAAGAGAGAGAUUUUAAAGCUUGAAAAUGGUAGGCAUUUGAGUAAAGACAAAAACAGGUGUAUGGGGGUAAGGAUCUUGUUUUAGUAACAUGGACAAUUUAUGAAUGUUAUAAUUUUAGUAAGCAUAUAUGCAGUAAGUCUAGCAUUAAUAGAUCCACAUUGUAAAAUGCCUGUUUAUCCAAAGACGGAGGUCUCUUGGUAUCAUUGGCUUGUUACUGUUAAUGCCACCCUUAGUCACAGGUAUGACGUUAUCAUGUGAUAACUUUUGUCCCACACCCAUGGCUUAUAGAGUGCUUGGGUUGCCUUCUCUUUUUGCCAGAUCAAAUUCUAAAUGUCCUAACACACCGAACAUAACGCCAGUCUCCUUCUUGAAACCAUCUCUGACUUUACGUGUAUAAGCUCUCUCUUUUCUGUUUCUGCUCACACCUUUGGGACCUCACUUAGCCCUGUGACUUUAAAUUUACCACACAUACCCUGAAGACUCCUAGGUUUUUGCUUGUUUUGUGAGGGGGUUUUUUGGCCAGCCUGGACUGCAUUGAUAUUUGCAUAUCUAGUUGCCUUCUCACCACCUGCACAGGACUGUUUAGUGAGCAUUUCCAGCCCACAGGGCCAGACCUGGCCCUGCUCUUGCCCCAGGACCACUCUGCCUGCACUCCUCUCUGUCUUCCUCGAGAGCGCUUACCCCCUUCUGGUCGCUCCAGUCUAAACCCUAGAGUCUUCCUUGGCUCCCUCUUUCUUUCCAUGUACAGUACAUAAGAAACUAAGAGAUUUCUAAGUGAUCCAUGGGUCAAAGAAGAGAAAUACUUGGAACUAAAUUUAAAAAACCAAAUACAACAUAUCAGAAAUCAUAUGAUGCUGCUAAGCUGUGCUAAGAGGGAAAUUUAUGGCAUUAAAUGUCUCUAUUGGAAAAGGAGAACGAUCUCAGAUCAGUAAUUUAAGCGUUUAUCUUAUUCCAAAAAGUGAAGAACAAACUAAACCCAAUAGCAAGUAAAAAGAAGGAGAUAAAGGUUAGAGUGGAAGUCGGUGACGUAGAAACAGAAAGCAGUAGAAAGGAUCAAUAGAACCAAAAUUAAUGGGUUAAUUGAAAAUUAAUUUCAGCCGGUUAAUUGAAGAUAUCAGCAAAAUUGACAAACCUGUAGCUAGAUUGACCAAGAAAAAGAGAGAAGAUACAAGGUACCAAAAUCAAGAAUGAAGAGGGGCGUUGAGUAUUGAUCUUACAGAAAUUAAGUUGAUAGUCUGAAUAACUUUGUACCAACAAGUUAGAUAGCUUAUAUGAAAUGGACAAAAUUCUAGAAAUAGGCAAAUUGCCAAAACUGACUCAAGAAAAAUGAAAAGUCUGAAUAGACAUAUAAUGAGUAAAGAAAUUGAAUUGAUAAUUAACAAUUUUGCCACAAAGAAAAGCCCAAGUUAUUUUGGCUUCAGUGGUAAAUUCUGUCAGACAUAUAAAGAACUAAU
rnacentral:lncRNA from 9 species